rnacentral:rRNA from 1 species
AUUGAACGCUGGCGGCGUGCCUAAUACAUGCAAGUAGAACGCAGUUGCGAACGGGUGAGUAACGCGUAGGUAACUGCCUCAUAGCGGGGGAUAACUAUUUGAAACGAUAGCUAAUACCGCAUACUGGUAGCUGGACCUGCGUUGUAUUGGCUAGGUGGUGAGGUAAAGGGUCACCAAGGCGACGAUACAUAGCCGACCUGAGAGGGUUGUCGGCCACAAUGGGACUGAGAAACGGCCCAGACUCCCAAGGGGGGGAGGAGUAGGGAAUCUUCGGCAAUGGACGGAAGGCCGGCCGAGCAACGGCGCGUGAGUGAAGAAGGGUUUCGGAUCGUAAAGCUCUGUUGUGAGGGGAGCGGUAACUAACCAGAAAGGGACGGCUAACUACGUGCCAGCAGCCGCGGUAAUAC